rnacentral:rRNA from 1 species
UGAGUAACCUGCCCUUAACUCUGGGAUAAGCCUGGGAAACUGGGUCUAAUACCGGAUAUGACUCCUCAUCGCAUGGUGGGUGUUGGAAAGUUUUUUCGGUGGGGGAUGGGCUCGCGGCCUAUCAGCUUGUUGGUGGGGUAAUGGCCUACCAAGGCGUCGACGGGUAGCCGGCCUGAGAGGGCGACCGGCCACACUGGGACUGAGACACGGCCCAGACUCCGUACGGGAGCAG